CUGGNNCUGAGACNCGGUCCNGNCUCUACGGGAGGCAGCAGUAGGGAAUAUUGCACNAUNGAGGAAACUCUNAUGCAGCGACGCCGCGUGAGUGAUGAAGGCUUCGGGUCGUAAAGCUCUGUCGCAGGGGAAUAACACAAUGAAUGUACCCUGUAAGAAAGGAUCCGGCUAACUUAGUGGCUUUGUAAGUNAGAUGUGAAAGCCAGGGCUCAACNNUGGAAGUGCAUUUGAUACUGCGAAGCUUGAGUGUCGGAGAGGUUACUAGAAUUGUUGGUGUAGUGGUGAAAUACGUAGAUAUCAACNGGAAUNNCGGANGCGANGGCGGGUAACUNGCCGAACACUGACACUGAGAUCCGAAAGCGUGGGGAUCAAACAGGAUUNGAUACCCUGGUAGUCCACGCCGUAAACGAUGGAUACUUGUUGUUGGAGGUAUUGACCCCUUCAGUGACGAACUAACGCGUUAAGUAUCCCGCCUNGGGAGUACGGUCGCAAGAUUNAANGGGAGGAANNUNNNNNUGAAGUAAUNUCCUNAUGGCNCUUAUGCNUAGGGCUACACACGUGCUAUCAAGGUAGUCACAGAGCGAAGCUAAGCCGCGAGGUAGAGCAAAUCGCUUAAAAGCUAUCUAAGUUCAGAUUGAUCUCUGCAACUCGAGAUCAUGAAGUUGGAAUCGCUAGUAAUCGCGGAUCAGAAUGCCGCGGUGAAUACGUUCCCGGCC
rnacentral:rRNA from 1 species